CAAGUUUCCACCAUCCGGUGUUUCUUUGAAGCUGCAGUGCCGAUCCUCUUUGGGGCAUCUUCUCCACUUCUUUCUUUGACUCAAAGUACUGUAGAAUGGCGAACAGGAAAGGGGAAAACUUAACCAGAAGAAAUGAGAAAGAAAUUACAAUUGAAGGAGGGAGAAAAAGUGAUUUUCAAAUUAGUAGCUCCAGAAAAGAAUAUAUUACAUUGGCUGAUUUGAUGAUAAUUAGAGAUUGUAUAGAGGAAAACAAUGAAGUCUUCAGUGAAAGAGAUUCGCAACAAAAUACACCAUUACAUGUCCUAUUGGAGUAUUCAGAUAUCCUGUAAUAAUUGGAGUAUUCAGACGAAAGUAAAGAAAAUCCUUGGAUAUUAAAACAUUUUUUGGAUUAUAUGAUAUAAAAAGGAUCAUACAUUAAUGCUGUAAUACAUUGGGAAUCAACAAUAAUAAUUGCUAUAAAAUUAUGUAAAACAAAGUUGGUGAAAAGACUUUUUGUGGAGCUGAUUUGAAAAUCGCUAACAAUGAAGGAGAAAAUUUAUUUUAAGUUUAAUAUGAUACAUUUUAAGUAUCCAGAAGAAUAUAAAGAAAGGGACGAACUGUAAUUACUUAGAUAACAGUUGUGUUUAAUAUAUGAGCGUAUAUAAGUAGUAAAUGGUAGUAGUUUCAAUACUUUUUUAUAUUGAAUCAGUUUUAAGAAGUUGAAACUUUUGUUUGUUUGCUGCUUUAUUGAUAAUAAUGGGCAAUAGAAUAUCUAGUUUGCGAAAAUCUGACAUAUUAAAAAUGACGCAAAAGCCGAAAAUGAAGUUUGAUUAAAAGAGAAGAAUUAGAAUGAAAAUCAGUAGCUUUGCCAGAAAUAAUAAAAUUAUCAUCUCCUGGUGCAACUAAAUAUAUCGAUGUAUCGAUAAUAUAUUGAUUAAUAAAGCAUGAUGUUCAAGUUGAAAGCAAGUAGAUCAAAAACGUAAAGAUGAAAUUAGUCGUUGGUUUAGAAACAAUUUUAAUGACCGCUGCUAGAGUUCGUAAAGUGAGCGUUAUGCAGUUUUAAAUAGAUGACCCUUGUGAUUUAAAUGUACAAAAUUAUGAGGGAAAUACUGUAUUACAUAUUUCAGUAUUAAAAAUAAAUGUUAGAGCAGUGGCACUAUUGCAUAAAUAUGACAAACAAAUAUCGGAUAAAAGUAUGACUCGGCCUUGGAUGAUGGCUUCAAAACAUGACCCGAUAGCUCAGUGGCAGAACACUUGAUGCACAAAGUCAGGGGUCGUGAGUUUGAGGCUCGCUCGGGUCGGUUAUUUUCUCACACUCUCUAUUAGUUGUCUUUGAAAAUCCUUUUGUCUUGACAUAUUUUAGAAAUAGACGCGUAAUAGCUGCUUCCAGACAUGUUAAGACCCUGUUUACAUGAGACCGGUU